GGUUGCAAAUUCGAGGCCAUUGCAGAAGUGCUCACAGCACAGCCUGUCAGAUUCCAAUGAAUCUGUGAAUUCUGCU
ensembl:ribozyme